rnacentral:misc_RNA from 1 species
AAGACUAUAGACCUGCGGAGUACCUGCGGAAGGAUCAUUAGAAAUGCGGGGCUGCUGUAAGUGGCCUUCUUUUUAACUGUGCACCGUUUUAAAUUGGGGGUGGAGCGAAAUUCAUUUCAAUCCACCGCCGCCCGGGUGGCAUAAAUCAUCUCCCUUACGGGGGCCGAGGAGUGCGCCUAAUUAUUUGACUAAUCUGACUGAUCAUUACAAUGAAAUUGUUAACAUAUAAACAACUUUCAG